GGUACCCGAGAGGAACUGACACGCUGGUGCGCGGUCGCCCGUGGGGUCGUGGUUUCGAGCCCAAGGGGGCCGGAACGGGGAAGGCUGCGCAGGCGCGCAGAGUCGCGGCCGACUUCUGGAGGGCGGAAGCGCCGUGGGGAGAGACAUUUAGACGGGAAUGGCUGCCUCAGCCAUGACGGAGAGUGAAGGAGAUACACGUAAAGCCCUCAGCACACUAACUGUGGUUAGUCAUUUUCAUCAGUGACCAUUUUGAGGAACAGAUGUGGAGACAUCGCACUAGAAUCUCUCACAACUUGGAGAACCAUUCCUUCCAUCUCCUCAGCUCCACAUUCACAGGACUCUGUUCUUCAAGAGAGGCCUCAUGAAGGGGAGCACGGCCACUGGGCCUCUGGAAGGCACAUCACAGGUGAGUUAUGGUUUGUUUUUUCUUACAAUG
rnacentral:lncRNA from 1 species